rnacentral:rRNA from 1 species
GUAGGUGGCAAGCGUUGUCCUGAAUUAUUGGGCGUAAAGCGCGCGCAGGCGGUCCUUUAAGUCUGAUGUGAAAGCCCACGGCUCAACCGUGGAGGGUCAUUGGAAACUGGGGGACUUGAGUACAGAAGAGGAAAGCGGAAUUCCAAGUGUAGCGGUGAGAUGCGUAGAGAUUUGGAGGAACACCAGUGGCGAAGGCGGCUUUCUGGUCUGUAACUGACGCUGAGGCGCGAAAGCGCGGGGGAGCAAACAGGAUUAGAUACCCUGGUAGUCCACGCCGUAAACGAUGAGUGCUAAGUGUUAGGGGGUUUCCGCCCCUUAGUGCUGCAGCUAACGCAUUAAGCACUCCGCCUGGGAGUACGGCCGCAAGGCUG